GGUACAUCCUCGUAGCUCGGCCCCGCCCCCCCUCUUGAGUCACACAGCAGAGUGUAAACUGUGACUGGCUGAUUCCGUUUGACUUCGUCUGAGAUCCUCGUGAUGGGGCUGAGGGUGACACAGUUGGAGGAAGAAAGCGCAAGAAUGAAAGUAAUUGGAAGAAGCGUGUGCGGAAAAAGAGAAGAAUGAUGGGACAGCCCUACAUUGGGAGGAGCAAGAAUGAAGAAGUCACCAAGGAGCCAAGGGUGAUGGGACCAAGAUGCCAGUCAGCUGCUUGUGAGAAAUCCUCCAAGCAUUACUGCAGUAAAAUUGGAGAGGCAGACAGGGAGAAGAUUUUUAAAAGCUUUUGGGGAAACAUCUGGGAAGAGAAAAGAAUGUAUGUGCGUGGUUUGGUAGAUGUCACCCCAGUACAGAGGAGAAGGGGGUCUGAAAAUUCAAGAAGGUCAUCAACUCUUGUUUUCUUUUUAAAAGUUGAUGGGGAGAGGAGGAGGGUGUGCAGGAAUUUGUUUUUGGCGACUGUUGGAAUAGGGGAGUGGUCUCUCCUUAACUGGGUGAAAGACACGGAUAGGACACAGAAGAAUCCCACAUCAUGCCACAGAGGUGAGACUCAUGAUUUCAUGAGGACCUUUCUGCAGGAUCUCCCUAAAGUGCCCUCCCACUACUGUAGGUCAUCCACAUCAAAACAAUACCUGGAGCCUGUUUUUCAGUCCAUGACUGACCUGCAUAAAGUGUACCAGAGUGCUGCUGAGGAGAAGAUGCUGAGACCGUUAUCAAGGCAGGUUUUCUCAGAGGAAUUUAAGCGGCAGAAUUUGGGGCUUUACCAUUCAAUGAAGGACCAGUGUAACACCUGCUGCUCCUUCAAGGCUAGAAACUUGCCAGAAUAUGAGUGGCAGAACCACUGUCUGAAAAAGGAAGAGGCCUGUGUACAAAAAGCACAGGACAAAAAUGAUGCAGAUAACAAGACCAUGGUUGUCUGCAUGGAUCUGCAAGCACUCCUCCUCUGCCCAAGUUUGAAAGCAUCUGCUCUCUAUUACAAGACAAAACUUGCCGUCCACAACUUUACACUAUAUGACAUGUCUUCACACAACGCCACUUGCUAUGUCUGGCAUGAAGGUGAGGGAGCUCUGUCUGCCAGUGAGUUUGCAUCCUGUGUCACCAAUUUCCCCUCUGACCAUAAUGAACAUGAGGAGUACAUUUUAUGGAGUGAUGGUUGUGGGUACCAAAACCGCAAUUCGGUGCUCAGCAAUGCUCUUCUGAAGUUUUCCAGAGAAAUGAAGAAGGUAGUCACCCAGAAGUUCCUGGAGAAGGGGCACACCCAGAUGGAAUGGAAUGUGACUCAGUGCACAGUGUCACAGGCGUCUGAGAAACCAGGAAAUCUAUGUCCCAGCUGAAUAUGUUGCCCUGAUGAAGAGCGUGCGGUCCAAGCCCAACCCAUAUGAAGUCAAAUAUGUGGACCAUAUGUUCUUCCAAGACUUCACCAAACUGAGGCUUUGCAAGUCUAUCCGCCCAGAGAUGAAGCCCGGUGACCCCACUGUCCAUGAUAUCAGAGCCAUCAGGUACAACAUCAAUGGGAUGAUGUACUUCAAGAUCCAGCACUCAGAUACCUGGACUCCAUUCUCCAAGCACCAGUUCCGACACACCACCUCAGACACGCCUGCAGUCACACCACUGUACACGGAGAGCCAGAAAAUCAAGGAGAUGAAAUACAAACACCUCCAAGACCUCAAGGAAGUCAUACCGAAGGACUUCCACAGCUUCUAUGACAAUCUAAAACACUAGGAAACACAC